GGGUAGUUAGUUGAGUGGUACAACGCUUGUUUCGCAUACAAGAGGCCGGGGGUUCGAUUCCCUCACUAUCCA
rnacentral:tRNA from 1 species